CCUACGGGAGGCUGCAGUGAGGAAUAUUGGUCAAUGGGGGCGAGCCUGAACCAGCCAAGUAGCGUGAAGGAUGACUGCCCUACGGGUUGUAAACUUCUUUUAUAAAGGAAUAAAGUGUGGCUAGUGUGCCUUUUUGUAUGUACUUUAUGAAUAAGGAUCGGCUAACUUCGUGCCCUCAGCCGCGGUAAUACGGAGGAUCCGAGCGUUAACCGGAUGUAUUGGGUUUAAAGGGAACGUAGUAGGGUAGUUAAGUCAGUGGUGAAAGUUUCAGGCUUAACCGUAAAAUUGCAAUUGAUACUGGCAGCCUUGAGUACAGUAGAGAGAGGCGGAAUUCGUCGUGUAGCGGUGAAAUGCUUAGAGAUCACGAAGAAUUCCGAUUGCGAAGGCAGCUUACUAAACUGCCACUGACAUUGAUGCUCGAAAGUGUGGGUAGCAAACAGGAUUAGAUACCCCAGUAGUC
rnacentral:rRNA from 1 species